rnacentral:rRNA from 1 species
UACAGAGGUCCCAAGCGUUGUUCGGAUUCACUGGGCGUAAAGGGUGCGUAGGUGGUGAGGUAAGUCGGAUGUGAAAUCUCGGAGCUCAACUCCGAAAUGGCAUUGGAAACUACCUUGCUCGAGGGAUGGAGGGGGGACUGGAAUUCUCGGUGUAGCAGUGAAAUGCGUAGAUAUCGAGAGGAACACCAGUGGCGAAGGCGAGUCCCUGGACAACUCCUGACGCUGAGGCACGAAAGCGAGGGGAGCAAACAGG